CCACUUGCAUCAAUUAAGUGUUUCCUCGUCGAGUGAGAUUAUCCACCUAAUAAUAAUAAUAAUAAUAAUAAUAACAAUAAUAAGAGUCCACUCGAUUAAUGAAAUGCGUGAUUGCUAAAGAGAAGAAGCCGAGCUGCUGAUUAGAUAGACACGAGGAGAGCCCCUGGAUGCUCGUCCGCGCGCGAUACAACGGCGCAAGAAGCAGUGAAAGGAAGAACUUUGUCGAUUAGAAGAUACACCCGUAAGAAAGUCCGUCAGUGAUCCUCCACGAGGAGAAACCUAAUAAUAUAAGUUUUCAAUGGAGAACGAAAGGGACGGAAGGCGCGAGAUGUGUCGAGGGACACAAUCGCCCUUUUCGACGAUUGAUUAAAGCGUCAAGAAUGUCGAAUACGAGAGAUGUAGAAGCAGUCGAUAAUAUAUCACAAACCAUCGCGAAUAAUUCCUCACUAAGUCGCGUGGAGUCGCGGAGAAUCGCGGUGAACGAUAUAUUCUUCGCUGAGGUAGACACGCAUAAAUCACGCAGACUGAUAUCACGGCGGAAGAUCGCUUCGUGUCGUCGUGUUCCGUCGAGGAGCGCGACGCUGAUAAACAAUUCGUCAUUUAAUCCAAAUCGAUCGCGAGACGUCGAGAACACACACACACAAAGAGUCUGGGGGCGUGCAUUUCCCUGUGAAGGAACGACCGUUUGCUCACAGCGACCCCUCCUAAUUAAACAGAGAAAAGAAAAGCUGCUCGACGGCCACGUAGGAUAGAAGAAAGAAGCGAUCGCUGGAGCGACGAGGAAACGUCAAUGGGCGCGAUGGAGAGGACAGGCUAGGGAGAGAAAGAGAGCGCGAACGAGAGGGGGAGCGGGAGAUAAGAGGAAGGGGAGGGAUAGAUCGUGUGAGUCAGUGAUGGCGUGUACAGCAGCAGCAGCCAGCCAGGCCAGGCCAGGCCGCCGAGCCCAGCUGUUCUUCGAUCCCCUAACCUACGUCAGUUUAUUUCAGACACUAACACUGAGCGCGCGGUCUCUCGCGGAGCAGCGCUCGUUCGCUCGCCCACCGAGAGUCGAGCCUCUGCGCGACUGCAGUCUCGUUAACGCGCGAGACUCUCGCGCGACGCAGCUCCUUCUUACACACACGCCUCUUCUUCUUCGGUUCGUUCUUGCUCGUCGACGACGGAAAACACCGAUCGACCGACGUGGUCGAUCUGAGCGAGUCAAUCGUGCUUCGCGAGGAACUUUCGUAUACUCUAUCCGUGUUUACUUACGCGCGCGAUCGAGUGACGACACGCGAUACGGAACCUAUCGCUGAUUGUGCGCUGCGCGCGCGCGUGUGUGUGUGUGUGUGUAGCCGAUCGGGACGACUGAGACUAGAGGAUCGAUUGAGAGCGCAUUUCCGGUUGUAAGACACCGUCGAAACAUCCUGUUGUGCUCGAAAAAGAGGAACUCGCGGCCGCGGUCGCCGUUGAAAUACGAUCGAUCCGGCGAUUAUUAACCGGCCGAUCGGACAGUGUGUCGCCGGUCGUAUCGGCGUAUAUAACGGCGAACGAAAUCGGGGGGAACGCGGCGAUCAACUUUCGAGGGAAACCGAGGGGUACGCGCACAGAGCGAGCGGAGCGGAGCGGAGCGGAGCGCAGCGCCGCGCGCUUGACCGUGUCGCGUGAUAUAUCCGAUCGUGCGCGACACGCACGUGCGUAUCCGUGCGCCGCGUGUGGCGUGUCGAGUCGAGUCGCGUCGAGUCGCGUCGCGUCGCGUUUGCGAAACGGCGUCGGCGGCGUCGUGUGGGUUGCGCGAGCGUGCAGCUGUGCAGCUACAACUACAACUAUAAAUGGAACAUGUGAGGCAUUGACACGUAUAUCACGGGGGAGAAUCGAACAGCGGGGAACGAUCGAGACUGUUUCGCGCUGCCUUAAAUAGAGAACGGCCAGCCUCGACGAUGGUGCGCCAGUGAGUUUAACACGGCGACGACGACGGGCGACAUUCGUUGUACGGAGAAUGUUCGACUGUCGCUCGGGGAGACGAGCGGGGAGACAACUUUGCCUUUGGCGGGGAAGAUCUGUGAUUAGACACGGUCGCCCGGCGACUGUGUCUCGAGUGUUGGCUGAUGAAUGCGCGCUGUGAUAGCAUGACCGAAAUUGAAUUGAAGGACGGACAGUGCACGUGAAAUGUCUCGAUGCUUUACCGAUGCUUUAUUCAAUAUCGUCUGCAGUUGCGCGCGACAAGUUGCGGGACAAGCGCGGAUCACAACGUAGACCAGUGUUUGUGUUACAUGGAUAUCUCUCGCGCGAAAAUAUUGCCUUCGCCAAGACGCCAAGACUUGCAGCAUCUGAUCCGUCCGGAAGCUACGUGAUCUAGGAUCGCGACGAGGACUAUCGACUCGAGCAGGAGGAUCGCAUCGAGCAGGAGGAGGAGGAGGUGUUGUGUGAAUUCGCGACGAAAAGCACCUACAACGAGGCGUCCGCCGCGCGUGAUUAGACACGCGCGACUAAUUGCACUCGCGAAACUCGCGCGCUGGGCUGCGCCGGGCACUUUGUGCACAGUGAAGGAAGAGAAGAAGGAGAGAGCGUCAAGGCGCUCAAGGAUACUCGUGGGCCGCGAUGGCGGUGAUGGCAAAGCGGCGACGGCAACGGCGGCGGUGAUGGCUGAAAUGCCAGAGGGACGUUUUGAAAAUCUUUGGUUCGACGCAUGCGUCCCUUUGCACUCGGCAGCCGAUGGAGCGCGAUGGAGCCGCCGUCAUCGUCGUCUCUGAGCUGCUGCUGCUGCUGCUGCUGCUAUUACUAGACGAAAAUCACAAUCCGCCGUUAGUGCCCGAGAGGAAGGACGACGUCGUCGAUUCGCGAAUCGGUACUGAUAAUCGACUCGAUCAUUUAUCGUGGGGACCGCUGCGUCGUCACGAACCUCAAAACGAGACAGUUGUUCGCUCGCGAGGUCGUCUCGAUACGAUCGAUAACUAGUGAAGGAGAGAGACAGAGAGAGA